rnacentral:rRNA from 1 species
AGCGAACGCUGGCGGCAGGCCUAACACAUGCAAGUCGAGCGCCCCGCAAGGGGAGCGGCAGACGGGAGAGUAACACGUGGGAACGUACCCUUUGGUUCGGAACAACCCAGGGAAACUUGGGCUAAUACCGGAUAAGCCCUUACGGGGAAAGAUUCAUCGCCGAAGGAUCGGCCCGCGUCUGAUUAGCUAGUUGGUGGGGUAACGGCCCACCAAGGCGACGAUCAGUAGCUGGUCUGAGAGGAUGAUCAGCCUCACUGGGACUGAGACACGGCCCAGACUCCUACGGGAGGCAGCAGUGGGGAAUAUUGGACAAUGGGCGCAAGCCUGAUCCAGCCACGCCGCGUGGGUGAUGAAGGCCCUAGGGUUGUAAAGCCCUUUCGGCGGGGAAGAUAAUGACGGUACCCGCAGAAGAAGCCCCGGCUAACUUCGUGCCAGCAGCCGCAGUAA